rnacentral:rRNA from 1 species
GUGAGGAAUAUUGGUCAAUGGACGAGAGUCUGAACCAGCCAAGUCGCGUGAAGGAAGACGGUUCUAUGAAUUGUAAACUUCUUUUGUGCAGGAAUAAAGUGGGUUACGUGUAACCUUUUGUAUGUACUGUACGAAUAAGGAUCGGCUAACUCAGUGCCAGCAGCCGCGGUAAUACGGAGGAUCCGAGCGUUAUCCGGAUUGAUUGGGUUUAAAGGGUGCGUAGGUGGAUUGAUAAGUCAGCGGUGAAAGUUUGCAGCUUAACUGUAAAAUUGCCGUUGAAACUGUCGGUCUUGAGUGCAAAUGAGGUAGGCGGAAUGUGUUGUGUAGCGGUGAAAUGCUUAGAUAUAACACAGAACUCCGAUUGCGAAGGCAGCUUACUGGGAUGCAACUGACACUGAUGCACGAAAGCGUGGGUAUCAAACAGGAUUAGAUACCCUAGUAGUCC